AAUUGACUUAAGACUACCCUAACUAUUCGACAGCCUCUAUUCGACAGACAGCCUCUAUUCAUCCUCUUUGUUCUACGCCUCCGACCAAAACCUAAAUCCUCUUGGUUCUUCGAAUCCAACCAGAACUCGACGCCUCGUCCUCCUUCUUUUUCGAGUUAGACCAGCUCCUGUGCUCCAAGACAGUGAACAGGAUCGGAGAUCGAGGCCGCCGUUUCGGAGAAACUUUGAGCUUCUGAGUCAUAGGAUUUGUGUUUCAUCUACCGAGGCAUUCUUCAUUGAGCUAGGCAAAGUUCGAAGCUUUGCAUGACCAUGUAACUGGAGCUUUCUGGGCAUUCUUUAUCUCUGAUCCCAUUCCUCACUACUACGUUGUCUGCAAAACCCAAUUCCUUCUUACCCUUUUGUCCCUUCUCAUGAUUUCUCAUCAAAAGACUGUAACUCAAUCACAUUGAGACACAAGCCUCUGUUUCUACAAUGAUGAAGACUGCGUAUUGGGUUUUGGUUGUUUCCAUAAUCUUGAGCUUUUGCGCAUUUGGGACUUCCUCGAUUGAGAAUUAUCAC